AAAUUGAAGAGUUUGAUCAUGGCUCAGAUUGAACGCUGGCGGCAGGCCUAACACAUGCAAGUCGAGCGGUAGCACAGAGAGCUUGCUCUCGGGUGACGAGCGGCGGACGGGUGAGUAAUGUCUGGGAAACUGCCUGAUGGAGGGGGAUAACUACUGGAAACGGUAGCUAAUACCGCAUAACGUCGCAAGACCAAAGUGGGGGACCUUCGGGCCUCAUGCCAUCAGAUGUGCCCAGAUGGGAUUAGCUAGUAGGUGGGGUAAUGGCUCACCUAGGCGACGAUCCUUAGCUGGUCUGAGAGGAUGACCAGCCACACUGGAACUGAGACACGGUCCAGACUCCUACGGGAGGCAGCAGUGGGGAAUAUUGCACAAUGGGCGCAAGCCUGAUGCAGCCAUGCCGCGUGUAUGAAGAAGGCCUUCGGGUUGUAAAGUACUUUCAGCGAGGAGGAAGGCGUUAAGGUUAAUAACCUUG
rnacentral:rRNA from 1 species